GACUAGCUGAGAGGAGGUGCAUGGCCGUCGUCAGUUCGUACUGUGAAGCAUCCUGUUAAGUCAGGCAACGAGCGAGACCCACGCCAACAGUUGCCAGCUCGUCCUCCGGGAUGGUGGGGACACUGUUGGGACCGCCUCUGCUAAAGAGGAGGAAGGAAUGGGCAACGGUAGGUCAGCAUGCCCCGAAUUAUCUGGGCUACACGCGGGCUACAAUGGGUGGGACAAUGGGUAUCGACACCGAAAGGUGAAGGCAAUCUCCUAAACCCAUCCGUAGUUCGGAUUGUGGGCUGCAACUCGCCCACAUGAAGCUGGAAUCUGUAGUAAUCGUGUCUCAAAAUGGCACGGUGAAUAUGUCCCUGCUCCUU
rnacentral:rRNA from 1 species